UCGUCAGCUCGUGUCGUGAGAUGUUGGGUUAAGUCCCGCAACGAGCGCAACCCCUAUUGUUAGUUGCUACCAUUAAGUUGAGCACUCUAGCGAGACUGCCUGGGUUAACCAGGAGGAAGGUGGGGAUGACGUCAAAUCAUCAUGCCCCUUAUGUGUAGGGCUACACACGUGCUACAAUGGCAAGUACAGAGAGACGCAAAACCGUGAGGUCGAGCAAAUCCCUUAAAACUUGUCCCAGUUCGGAUUGUAGGCUGAAACUCGCCUACAUGAAGCCGGAGUUGCUAGUAAUCGCGAAUCAGAAUGUCGCGGUGAAUACGUUCCCGGGUCUUGUACACACCGCCCGUCACACCAUGAGAGUUGGCAAUACCCAACGUCCGUGAGCUAACCGCAAGGAGGCAGCGGCCUAAGGUAGGGUCAGCGAUUGGGGUGAAGUCGUAACAAGGUAACCGUA
rnacentral:rRNA from 1 species